rnacentral:rRNA from 1 species
CUUCUCUCUGAAGCGUAGGGUAUCCUUUUCAUCUCACCCCAUAACUUCAUUUUUUUUGGCGGGUGCCCGCCUCCCCCCAAGCCGGGCCGCCCCCCCCAGAGGACCAACCAAUCUGUUUUUUUUAGAGGAUUCUUCGGGUAAAUCAAACAAAUUAAUCAAAACUUUUAACAACGGAUCUCUUGGUUCUGGCAUCGAUGAAGAACGCAGCGAAAUGCGAUAAGUAAUGUGAAUUGCAGAAUUCAGUGAAUCAUCGAAUCUUUGAACGCACAUUGCGCCCGCCAGCAUUCUGGCGGGCAUGCCUGUUCGAGCGUCAUUUCAACCCUCAAGCUCUGCUUGGUGUUGGGGCCCUACAGCUGAUGUAGGGUCCCCCAAAUACAGUGGCGGUCCCGCCGCAGCUUCCAUCGCGUAGUAGCUAACACCUCGCGACUGGAGAGCGGCGCGGCCACGCCGUAAAACACCCAACUCUUCUGAAGUGACCUCGAAUCAGGCAGGAAUGCCCGCUGAAGCUGA